AACUCUCACAUGAGGGGACAUUGUGUACACAUAUCCCAUGUACUCUCACAUGAGGGGACAUCGUGUACACAUAUCCCAGGUACUCUCACAUGAGGGGACAUUGUGUACACAUAACCCAGGAGGAACAUUGUGUACACAUAUUCCUGGAGGAACAUUGUGUACACAUAUUCCCGGAGGAACAUUGUGUACACAUAUCCCAGGAGGAACAUUGUUUACACAUAACCCAGGAGGAACAUUGUGUUCACAUAACCCAUGAGGAACAUUGUGUACACAUAAUCCAGGAGGAACAUUGUGUACACAUAUUCCCGGAGGAACAUUGUGUACACAUGUCCCAGGAGGAACACCGUGUAAACAUAUUCCAGGAGGAACAUUGUGUACACAUAACCCACGAGGAACAUUGUGUACACAUAUUCCAGGAGGAACAUUGUGUACACAUAACCCAGGAGGAACAUUGUGUGCACAUAUUCCAGGAGGAACAUUGUGUACACAUAACCCAGGAGGAAUAUAGUGUACACAUAUCCCAGGAGGAAUAUUGUGUACACAUAACCCACGAGGAACAUUGUGUACACAUAACCCAGGAGGAACACCAUGUAUACAUAUUCCAGGAGGAACAUUGUGUACACAUAACCCAUGAGGAAUAUAGUGUACACAUAUCCCAGGAGGAACAUUGUGUACACAUAACCCAGGAGGAACAUCGUGUUCAUAUAACCCAGAAGGUACGAGCUACUUGAAAUAGAGGUGUGUAUGUAAGACUGUGUGAGCUACUUGAAACAGAGGUGUGAAUGUAAGACUGUGUGAGCUACUUGUAACAGAGGUGUGUAUGUAAGACUGUGUGAGCUACUUGUAACAGAGGUGUGUAUGUAAGACUGUGUGAGCUACUUGUAACAGAGGUGUAUGUAAGACUAUGUGAGCUACUUGUAACAGAGGUGUGUAUGUAAGACUGUGUGAGCUACUUGUAACAGAGGUGUGUAUGUAAGACUGUGUGAGCUACUUGAAAUGUUUUCAUAUAUGUACCACUGAGCAUGCUACUUAACACUGGCGGUCAGUGUUACAACCUGUUAUUCCACUGAGUGAAUGGAGUGACAUUAGUCAAUAUAUGCAUGAAUAGAAAAUGAAUAUUUGACUUUUUACAUCUAAUUUAUUUGAAUAAAUAACAGUGUCAAAUUA